rnacentral:misc_RNA from 1 species
AGAAUGCAACAUCCACUGCUUGACAUGUUUCAAUAUUGCAUGAAUCAUGAGAAUCUUGAGAAAAAUCCCCAAAAAGAAGUAACUAAACUUUUUCCCCUUUUAAUUUCCUGUUUAACAAGCACACUCUUCCAGAAACAUUAGAGAUCCAUCAUAAACUGCUGUACAUAUUGCUUCCAGAUCUUCUUUCCUUGUUGGGAUUAACACUUCUCAAUUUUAUACACAAGAAAUUAUAUUCUAGGAUUCAAAAUCUCUUGUCAGGUUAUUGAGAUUGUAAAUGUACAUGGGUCGGCUACUAUUAUAUAUAUAUAUAAGCAUCCUUCCGAAUACAGUGAAAAUAAAGGCAACUUGAUUCUCCUCCAGUCAACAAUGUGUCUGGAAAGUGGAAAGUAAGACUAUCCAUUCACACAGCUACGUAGCAAAAUUCCAUUCUCCAUGUUGUGGUCCAAACAUUGAAAAUUUCAUACCUUUUAUUAUCUAUCACUAAACUAAAAAUUUCUUACCUUCUUCUAUGAUCCAUCACCAAAGUGAAAUAAAAAUGAUAGCAUUUCAUUCCCCCGGGAGUCUAAUUUAUCUCCUGAAAGAAACAUAUUAACUCUUCCAUUUUGCACUAUCCAACUGCAUCCUGGGACCUUCCUCACACCCUUCAAACACAUCUCUUUCCUCAAAUUUUGUACCUCAAUAUGUUGGCCACUUGCAGCAUAGAUAUUGGAGAGCAGUACAUGGGCAGAUGCAUUCAGUGGAUCCAUCUCAAGGAGUCUUGUGGCAGCUCUUUUAGCAAUGUCUGCAUUUUUCUCACUAAAACGACAUACACCAAGCAAUGCACCCCAAAUAGCCUGAUUUCUUUCAACAGGCAGUCCCAAAAUGAAUUCUUCUGCUUCUUUCACUUUCCCUGCUCGGCCCAAAAUAUUGAUCAUACAAAUGUAAUGUUCCAAACCUGGUUGAAUUGCAUAUACAUCACUCAUUGCAUUAUAUAAUUCCCAUCCUUGACUGAUGAAUCCUGCAUGGCCACAUGCUGAUAGGACACCCAGAAAGGUAAUCGAAUUUGGAUGAGUUCCAGAUUCCAGCAUGACUUCAAAAACUUUUAGCGCUUCAUUUGCAAGUCCGUGAUGUGAAAAUCCCAUGAUCAUGGAAUUCCAAGAAAUCAGAUCACGAGAAGUCAUGUGUGAGAAUAUUCUAUAUGCACUAUGUAUCUCGCCACAUUUUGCAUACAUGGAGAUCAGAGAAUUAUCAAGAAUCAAGUCCAUGUCAGAUAGUGUCUUUAUCAGCAUACCAUGAAAUUGCAUCCCCUGAUCAAGACAUGCCAUUGCACCUGCAGCUCCAAAGAGAAUAGCAUAUGUAGAACUUAGAGGACUAAUACCUUGAGUCUGCAUCUCUGAGAACAAAUAGGUAGCUUCAUCAAAAAGCUCAUUUUGGACAUGCCCUGAAAUCAUUGCUGUCCAUGCAACUGCAUCUUUGUCAGGCAUGUUACGGAAUAGAUAGCAUGCUUGGGAUACAUUUCCAGUGCUAAAAUAUCCAUCAACCAUUGAAGUCCAAGUGAUCUUGUCCCGGACAGGCAUGGUAUCAAACAAAUUUUGAGCCUUUUCCAGUUGGCCAAUUCGAAUAUAACCAUUUAUCAUGCAGUUAUAAGACUGGACAAUAUUAUUAUUUGAGUUCUUAUUAAAUAUAAAGUGUGCAGAAUCCAUGAAGCCAAAUGAAGAGUACAUGUAAGUAAGGCUCUUAGAUAACCUGCCAUCAUAAUCAUCAUGAUCUAACCCCUUAAUUAUCAAUUGAGCAUGUAACUGCUUGCCAAGACGAUGAAAUCCAACACCAGCACAAGCAUAAGCAAGUGAAAUGAAAGUCUCUGCAUUUGGUAUUAUGUGGGAGCUCCUCUUCAUCUCAAGAAAAAGCAACAAUGCAUCUUCAUAGAAGCCAUUCCAUGUGAAUCCUCCAAUCAUAGCUGUCCAAGAAACAACGUUUCUCUUAGGAGUCCUCUGAAACAAAAAAUAUCCCUCCUCUACUUCACCUGCCCUACAAUAUCCUGCUAUCAUGCUUGUCCAAGUAAUCACAUUCCUAUCUUCCAUCUCUUCAAAUAAGGCCCUUGCUUCCUCUAUUCUAUCAUUCUCCACGUACCCUUCGAUCAUGGCGUUCCAAGAAACCACAUUCUUGACUGGCAUCUUAUCAAAAACCAACCUUGCAUCCUCCAAAUCUCCAUUUCUGAUUAACCCAACAAUCAUCGCAUUCCAUGAAACAACAUUCCUUUCCGGCAUCUCCUCAAACAACCUUCUUGCCUCACAAAUCCUUCCUGCAUCCGCCAACCCAUAAAGCAUGGAAGUCCAGGAAACAACAUUCCUCUCUGGCAUCUCUUCAAACAACCUGCUUGCCUCACUAAGCUUCCCACACCGCAAAAACCCUGACAACAUUGCAUUAUAACUGACAGUAUUUCUCUCAGGCAUUAUUUCAAAGAGCGCUCGAGCUUCAUCAAUGAAGCCAUUUCUCGAGUAUUUUGUCAGCAACGAAGUCCAAUAAACAAUACGGCUAUGGGGGCUUCUCUCAGGCAUUUUGUUGAGAAGGUUGUUUGCAUCUUGAAUCCUACACUGGGAUAGGCAAUGGAGGAGUUGGUACUCAUUGAUUGUGAACUGAAGGUAAUGGGUUUUCGAAAAUGUUGUCGGGGAAUUGAAAAAGCUAACAUGGAGAGAAAAGAAACGAAGGUAAAAUGAAUUUCUUGGAAGAGAGAAUUUAAGGGCUCUGAGACAAAAGGCGGGCAUUAACAGGUUUGCAAAAGGAGACAGUUAAAAGGUUGCUAUGAAGUAAAAUUUUGUCGAGGGCCGCGUAAGAGUCAAAGCAUGUACCUUUAAAAGGAAAAUAACAAAAUUUUAGUCACUUUCCUUUCGGGGUCUCUAUAUCCUCUCCCACUGUGAGCAACCAACCAUGGAGUUCCUGGAUGAGGACGCAAGACCCAGAUUCUUCUUCCAGUCUCGCCCAAUUCCUUCUUCACUCACCGAUCAGGAAACCCAACAAAACCCCAUUAACAAACCCCUUAUCUUCAUUACAGUUUCCUUCUCUUCCCUUCUAUUGCUUCUUUCUGUUCUUUAUAUCCAAACUGAACCCUUCAAAUCUCUCCUCUUUUGGGUCUCCAUCUCCUUCAUCAUUGGUCCUUUUGCCCCGUCUCGCGUCACUGGCGGUGACAUUCGCGUCGGUCAAGGCCCAAUCGUCGAGCCCCUUGAUGAAGAACCUGAAAUCGUAACUGAGAAGAGAGCGCCCAAAAAGAGAUCGAAAGCGAUCAGAUCUGAAGAAACUGUUACGGCUCCAAUUUCUGCGGUAGAAACGAUAAAUGGGUCGUCAAUUAAGGAAAGAAAGAGAGAAGUUUUGGCAAACAGUGGAAAUGGGUUGGUGACGAAUGAGGGAGAGAAAGAGUGGAGUGAAGAGGAUCUGGAGAUACUGAAGAAACAGAUGGUGAAGAAUCCUGUGGGGAAGCCAAGGAGAUGGGAGGUAAUUGCACAGGCGUUCAAUGGGAAGCAUAGAGUGGAGAGCGUGAUAAAGAAGGCAAAAGAAAUGGGGGAGAGGAAGUUGGAGGAUAAUGAUUCAUAUGCAAGAUUUUUGAAGAACAGGAAACCAUUGGACACAAGAGUUCAAUCUGAGAUUGGUGAAACUAAGAAAGAUAAUGAUGGUGGUGGUGAUGAAACUAAGAAAGAUGGUGACGGUGACGGUGACGGUGACGGUGAUGAUGGUGGAGUGGGGUGGAGUGCAGGGGCGGAUAUUGCAUUGCUAAAAGCUUUAAAAGCAUUUCCUAAGGAUGUGGCAAUGAGGUGGGAGAAGAUUGCAGCUGCAGUUCCUGGCAAGUCAAAGGCAGUUUGUAUGAAGAGAGUUGCUGAUUUGAAAAGGGAUUUUCGGAGUUCAAAAGCUGGUGCUGAGAGUUAGAUGAAAAGUUGGAUAUCUUGACUGUUUACAGAAUUUUGAAUAUGAGGUAGCACUGGGGAGGAAAUACGUGAUUUGAUAUCUCCUUACUCUUGUUCUUCCCUCAUUUUUUUUUAUGAGGAAAGUUACUUCAAAUACUAUUUGAUUUUUGUUCCACACAUGAUGUUUCCUAAAUCUGUUGAAACUUGUUAUAAUAAAACUGAAUGCCUAUUUGGUUAUUGCAAUAUCUUGGUUGAUGAGAGUCAUGUGGUUUUCCUCGUCUCUUCUGCGUACUAAUUAUUUUUAGCACACAAACCAGCUUUGCUAGGGCCAGAUUCUGUGGUUCUUUUGGCUUCCUUGAUGAAUAUCAGUCAGACUGUUGAUCAUCUGAUCAAUUUACUCAUUGGUGAAAUUAAGUGAAUUAAUCUUCUUGGUAUUGGUUAGGUUGGCUAGCAAAAAAUUGCAAUCUUAUGUUGUUAGGGCAACCAUACUGUACCAUAUAAAGGAUUUUCUACGAAUACGCUCACCUUCUUAAUCGUUCAUCAAUUCUCCAUACUGCUUCAUCUUCUGUUCUGUUAACUGUUGUGCUCCACAGCAUAAUUUUAUUUAUCAGAAGAAAGAUAAUAGCUUGUUUGCAAUUUCUAUGGGGAAA